rnacentral:tRNA from 2 species
GGGGUUGUGGCUCAGUGGUAGAGUGCUUGCCUAGCAUGCAUGAGGCACUGCUUUCAAUUCUCAGCACCA